rnacentral:rRNA from 1 species
UUCGAAUGAAGUUUUCGGACGGAAUUUGGAUGUACCUAGUGGCGAACGGGUGAGUAACACGUGAAUAACCUGCCUUACAGAGGGGGACAACAGUUGGAAACGACUGCUAAUACCGCAUAAGCCCACGGAUUCGCAUGGAUCUGCGGGAAAAGGAUUUAUUCGCUCUAGGAUGGACUCGCGUCCAAUUAGCUAGUUGGUGAGGUAACGGCCCACCAAGGCGACGAUCGGUAGCCGGACUGAGAGGUUGACCGGCCACAUUGGGACUGAGACACGGCCCAGACUCC